CUUGAUUCAGUCUUUGUCAUUUCAUGCCACUCUAAGUGUCUAUCAAGCCGUCCCUGAAGCUUAAGUCGAAGACCACAUAAGCUGCAACAAUGUGGAAGGUCAUCCAACAAUCCACUGAUCACAGAUGAAUGAAAUUCUCUGAUUACCUCUGGCCUGAGUUCUAAUCCUAUCAAGCUUUCUACUUCUGUUGAGGUGGACUGAUGUGGGGGAACUGAACAUUUUGGAGCAGGUUCAUCAUAGGAUACCUCAUUCAUUGUGGAGGAUCGAGGAGCAUCAGACGAACUCUGAAUGUCCGAACUCUUGUUCAUUGAUUCACUUGGCCUCUCAAUUUCCGGGCUCUUCUGUAUUUGGUUGGGCAUCUGAAGAGAUGGUAGAGAUGCAGCAUCCUUCUUUGAUACAGAUAUCAAACCUUUUGCAACUAAUGAGCUCAGAAGGUUAGAUAUUGGAUUUGUAUCCUUGCUUUCGGCAUCAGAAGUUUGCGAUGGGGCAUUACUAACAAGAGAUGAAAGUGGUGGUCCAGGAGGCAGUGGCAACUGUUCUACUUUUUUCUGGGAACUAUUCGGAGUAGCUGUUAUUGCAUCAUGGGUUGCAUCUGAUGAAAUUGCAGCAUCAAUCAAGCCUGAGGUUGUUAAAACAGCUGGAGGACAAUUUGGGAGAGGAGGCUGUGAAAUUUGCCCAACAACUUGAGAAAUCUUAGUUGAAAGGUUGCCAGUAAAUGAAGUGCUGGAGAGGAUUCCACUCUUCAUUACAGCAGCUAAUAGACUACUAGUACUUGAUAGUUCUGAAGUUUCAAUAGCAAGUGGAUUAGAACACUCCAAUGCACUUCCAAGUGCUGAGGCUGCUUCUACUUUGGAGAUCUGAGACGGAAGAGGCUUCUGAGUCUGACCAGAAGUUUCAGCCUGCAUGGAGUCUGGUAGGGGUGGCUGUGAAAGGUGAUGAUGACGGCUAGGAAGCAAAGAAAUCGGAGCAGAAGUCUGAGGAGAGUCUCUAUGAGACCCAACACUCAACUUUCCUGAAAAAUGAGAUGGUUUUGGAUCAGCCCGAGGCAGGGAAAGAGCUUGCUGAUAAUCUGGAUCAGCCAAUUUCUGUAGCUGUUGAUGGGUAUGGCAUGCAGGAAAUGAAGGUGAAGGUGAAUGCUGGCGCAUAGGAGACUGUUCAGGAGGUAAUGCAGUUCCUACGGACUUUAAACACUGCUUUCCAGAAGUACCUGUGGAUCCUGAUGCCACAUUCGCCAAAAACACAAAGCCUGGGGUUCCCAAAUGGGAUGAACCCGUUUGAGGUCGCAUUCCUAUCCUGGCCAGGGAAGAACUUGCACCAGUAGGCAACCCACCAAGACUAGCAGAAUAGCUCUCAGAACGGCUUGAACUAGUAGCAGGCAAACCAUCUGUCCAUGCGGUAGAAAUCUGAUGCCCAAAAGAAGGUUUGUCCUUCUGCUCAGCGGAUAACGCAUCAGCGGAAGUCUCUCUAUCAAACCUAGACCCCGCAUCAUGAAUGCUUUGAGGUCUUUGGAGCUGACUUUCAAAAUCCUGGCAUUGAAAAUGUAAACCUGGUUAUAAAUACAUUAGGGGAAAAAAUCCUAGAGGAAAGAAAUGAAAAAAAAACUAGAAAAGAAAAAAGGGAAAUAAUCAAACAACCAUAAUGUUUCUCUUCCAUGUAACAAAGGUUUAAAGUAAUGCUUAUAUUACAUUACUGUUCAUGCAAGCUUACCAUUUUUUCUGAAACAUCAGGAGUCCAACAAUCUUUCCUCGUGUUAUCAGAGAAGUUGGCUGCAUCAUGUUCAGACAACCUAGAGUGCAUCUCCCACAUAAACUCCUCCUCCUCAGAGUUUUUCCAGCUGCUCAACAACCCACUGCUGUUUCUACUAUGUGUUCGGUGUAAACGAGGAUCAGCAUUCACAGUUUUGGAUGCUGAGUAAUUUUGAGAUCCAUGCUUAACGUUGAAACCAUUCCUCUGGCUGGGAAUAGUCUCAGUAACACUGCCUGUAGCUCCAAACCAAGGCGCAUCAAGCCCCUGAUCAGUAAUAUUCCCCCUGGUUCUUCUAACUUCUAUGCCAGGAGUCUGUAAAAGAUCAGAACCAUAGUCAUAAUCACCAACAGCAAUUUCUCACAAACAGGCUCAUUGUACAUGUCUAUAUGAGAACACUGAAUGUGCUGAUAAUUUUAAGAUAUGGGCAGAAAGGGAUAAGAGAAUAAAUAGAUUAUAACAUACUUUAAAACACUUCACCUACAUUCAUUUUAACAGAUCCAUAUGACAGUUCAGCUAUGCUGUGUGCUCUAUCCGGCCUCUCAGACUCCUUUGAGUUGCCCAAAGUCCCAGCCAUAUCAUUGACCAUAACUUUUGCCUUCAUCACAUAAAACAAAAUCAAAAGAAAACCCCUUAUAGUACAUACAUUAAAGAUGAAAUGAAAUCGAUGGCUAUGAGAAGAAAAAACGGGGCAAGGGCGGCACAUUGAUACAGAUGAUCCCAUGAAGGACUAGAAAGAAAAGAUAUAGAGGGACGCUUUAAAUUUUAGAUAUGAAUCUUUAAAGAUGCAAGUUGAAGAAAAAGAAUAGGUUGAGAAAAAAAAUUAAAAAUGCUUGCAUUUUAGAAACAUGAUCAAACCUCCAACCUCCAUAACUGCUUCAGAAAUAUACCGAAUAAAAUCAAAUCAAUAUCAUGCCAAAAAAAAAAGAGGAUUAUGGAAUUUACCCUGCUUGAUUGUUGAAGACGCUGCUUCUCUAGAUACUUUGGGUUUACAUGAAUGCUUUGUGGUGGACGCUGUGAUAGUGUAUCCGUUCUAGAUGUUGUGUUUCCUGAAGACGAACCAUUUACCAAAGGAGUGAAGCCAAGUUCCUUUUCGAUCACCUGGAGAGUCUGAAGAGGGAAUACCCCUUUCCAAGUUCCAAAAAGAUGUCGCAUACUCUGAUGUAAGGGAGGAUCAACUUGUCUAUAUGCUUUGCAAAACACCUAAACCAGCAAUCAAAAUGUAAAACACCAUUACGCUUGCAGCAUGAGUAUCAAAUGCAUUCUAGAUAAACACACAAGUAACAGAAAAAGAAGGUUUCAGCAUUUGGAAGAGUUUGAGACUCUGAGCACAAAGUAAAAGUGAAUAUCUUUGCUAAAGGAUAUAAUCCUUUCCAUAGCAUACUCUUCAAACACUUUCUAGAUGAACACAGAAGUUACACAAAAAGAAGUUUUCAGCAUUUGGAAAAGUUUGAGACUCUGAGCACAAAGUAAAAAAGGAUAUUCGUUGAAGGAUAUAAUCUUUUUCAUAAUAUAGUCUUCUGCAAUUUCUCAGACAACAAACAUAAGCACAUUACAAGACAUUUUCUCAAAUGCCCCUAGAGCAACAAUGGAGCCAAAGGAAAAAGAAUGAAAUCCUAACCUCUGGUAACCUGGCAGCAAAACAUUUAAUGUAGUCUCUCCCAAUAUUCUUUACAAUACUAUCUAAAAGAUAGAGUGAUGGCAGCUUUUGGUCACUGGGAACCUGCAAAGUCAUUUUUUAUCAGCUCUCAAACCACAAAAGCAACCUUCAUUGGACUAAUUCUUUGCCAAAAUACUAAUCACAUCCAUACUAUCAUCAAUGCUGUAAUGAAAAGAAAGACAGUUGAGGGAGGAAUGAGGAUUGCAAACAGAAAAAUAGGAUGAACCAAACCUUUAUUCUCCUCAUAAUGAAAGAAAAAAGUAAAAACUUUCACUAAUGAGGAUUUUCAGCAUUAAAUAAAGUUUUUGAAUCCAUUCCUGCUAUCAAAGUUGACCGCCUUUUACCUCAUCAACUUAGGCAUUUAAUUUCAUUGACCUAAAAUCUGACCCCACCUUAUUUAGUUAUGAUUUCAAUUUAUCCCCUGUUUUUCAUGACUUUCUACCAGCUUCCAGCCUUAAUAAAUGGCUCCAUCACAGAAAAAGCAUUCUUUCAGAUCCAAGCAAUCUGAGGCACCAUUAUAUACUUUGUAGACUUCGAAAGCAGAUUUUUAUCAUUUGCCAACUGAAAAUCAAAGAGUGCGGGUAACAACAGGGUGCUCAACUUAAGCAUUCACAAUGGCAUUAGCAUUUCUAGUUCUAUUUACUCAUAUCGCCAACCAAAAGUAAUUUGAGUAGAAUAACAAAAGAUUGCUAACAAAAGAUGAUGACAGGCAAGUAGGAAAGCACUAUACUCGCUUCAGAAGGAAAAAUGAAAUGGAGAUGAACAAAUAUGUGACCAUAUAAGGAAAUUGAUGUGAGAAACCCAGCUAAAGGGAAUAAUAGCUUAAAGAGAUUCCAAACCAAUACACUUCAUUAGAUAUACGUUUCAUAACAUAUGGACUCUUCAUAUUCCAUUUCGACAUAUGCCUGUAAAGUUACAAUCUCUAUAAUUCAUUGGCCAGCUGUUUACAAUUUCCAGGGCGAUUAGAAACAUAUCAGUUCCAUGAAAAAAUAGAACAGACAUCCAAUAAAGGAAGAUAUUUGCAGGCAAAAUGGCCUUAGACCGGAAUUGCAUAGACUACGAAGUCACAUCAGGAUAUACCAUUCCUGCAUUUGUUAAUAAAAGGAAAAAAAAAAAAAACUUGACCAACAUUAUUGUACUCAUAUCACCUGUUAAGAUAAUAUAAAAAUUGAACUCAAAAGAACUCUGCGAAACAUUUUAACAAACCUAUAUCGAGACGCACAUUGAUGACAGCAAAACUAAAAAAAAUAUCCAUUAAUCCCAAUUUACACUUACAAUCCAAAUUAUCUUUCCUUUUUUUUCCCCACAGUAUAGAACUUGCAAUUUAUUUUCCUGUACAAUUCAAUUUCAAGAAGAAAGGAAGAGCUUUAACGAAUAAGGCACAGCUAAAACUGAGUUCACCUCAAGAAUAUUAGCGCAGACAGUAGCAGCAAUGGCCUUGGCGGCAUGAACAUUCUCGCCAGCGAUUAUUGUCAAGUUAGUAAUAAUUGGUUUCGAGUUAAAAGUGAGCUCAGCUAACGCCGUCUUAUACUGGCUAACUAACUCUUGCUGCUGCUGGUGUUGCUGCUGAUGUGACACUGGUUGUGGUUCGUAAGCUCCACCGUCGCCACGGAUCAAAUCAUUGGUGCCGGAAUCAUUGGACCGGAAUCUCAAACCAGAGGCGGUAACAACUGGGUUCGCUCGUUGAGAAAAAGGCCGGAUAUUAGGGUUCGAAGUGAGGUCUUCAGUUAACCGUGGUUUUUUCAAACCAGGUUCUCUUGAUCUAUAAAAUGAUCUACGCGGAUUCUCCAUAUAAGCAAAUCGAAAACCCUAAAUUCCUAAAUCGAUAAUCACUCUUAUUUUCAUGUACAGUCAAAUUAGCAAAUCAAAUUAUCAAAAAGGGGGAAAUUACAAUAUUACAAUAGCCUAAAUCGAAUCUCUAAAAAAACUCCAAAACCUUAUACAAUAAGGGCACAAAAUAAAACCCUAUGGAUUAUCAUAUACAACAAAAAAGAAAAAAGAAGAAGAAGACUUCUAAUUCUAAUUCCAUUUCCAAUUAUAAUUCUAUCUUCUAAAGAUAAAGGAGCAGAGAAUUCCGAUCAAAAGAAAAAUGCAGAGAAAUUAUUUUGGAAAGAAGAAUUUGAAAGAAGAGGGAGAGAGGCCGGGUGGAGAUUAAGAAAGGAAGAAGGUUAAAGGGUUUAAUUGUAAAUAUGGAGAUUGAUUGUUAAUAUAUAGGUUAGUCCAGAAGGUGAGUUGGAGGGUUUAAAAUUUGAAACGGAAAUUCUUUUUUUAAAAAAAAGGGUAAGGACUUUAUUUUAUGGCCUUCUUUGGGCCGUGUGAAUGAUAAUUCCAAAAAACCCAACAAUUAUUUGUAAAUAGAUCUCACAAUAAUAUCUAUAUUUACUAAUUAUUAAGCUUUUAUUGAGUUUGUAUGACAUAUUAAUACUUGGUCAGAAAAUUAUUAAAAAUUAUUUUAUUUAUUAACCAAUAAAAAUUUGUUUAUAAUGAGAUUUUGAACUAAGGACACGAUGUAUUUAAAUUUUUUUCAUUUAUCAUCUAAAACUAAAGCAAUCUCUUUAUUCUUAUAUGAAAUUUUAAUAAAUAUGUUUUUAUAUGCAUUUUUAUAUAUUUGUGUUUAUGUUUCGUUUUAGUACCAAUUUAGUUUAAUUUUUUCAUUUAAUUAACGUACAUAUUUCAUGUGUUACUAUUAAUUAGUUCCAACUGUACAUAUUAUUAUUUAUUGUAUGUUAUUUUUUAAAAACAAUUUUGUAUUCCAAAUACGUGAUUUCAUAUGCAUACGCGUGUGAUAAGAUUUCUAGUAUUUAUUAUAUAUAUUUCACAUAUGAAGGGUGAAAAAAGUAUUAAAUUAUUUGCAAUUUGUGAUGUUAACAAAAUGCAAAUUUUCCAUCAAAGUAAAAAUCCGCAUGGAAAAACAUAUACAUUCUAAACAUAAUGAAACUUCAUGUAGCACCCUAUACCCGAAUUGAUCGUCAGUCUAAGCUAUAAUAUGUUACAUUCGUUUCUGGAGAACUUUGAUCGAUUACAAAUAAAUUUCAUCAUUAUUCANNNNNNNNNNNNNNNNNNNNNNNNNNNNNNNNNNNNNNNNNNNNNNNNNNNNNNNNNNNNNNNNNNNNNNNNNNNNNNNNNNNNNNNNNNNNNNNNNNNNNNNNNNNNNNNNNNNNNNNNNNNNNNNNNNNNNNNNNNNNNNNNNNNNNNNNNNNNNNNNNNNNNNNNNNNNNNNNNNNNNNNNNNNNNNNNNNNNNNNNNNNNNNNNNNNNNNNNNNNNNNNNNNNNNNNNNNNNNNNNNNNNNNNNNNNNNNNNNNNNNNNNNNNNNNNNNNNNNNNNNNNNNNNNNNNNNNNNNNNNNNNNNNNNNNNNNNNNNNNNNNNNNNNNNNNNNNNNNNNNNNNNNNNNNNNNNNNNNNNNNNNNNNNNNNNNNNNNNNNNNNNNNNNNNNNNNNNNNNNNNNNNNNNNNNNNNNNNNNNNNNNNNNNNNNNNNNNNNNNNNNNNNNNNNNNNNNNNNNNNNNNNNNNNNNNNNNNNNNNNNNNNNNNNNNNNNNNNNNNNUUUGAUUGCAUCGAUGGUUUUCAAAGGUCGACGGUAUAUGAGUGACAAUUUGUGGCACUUCUUUGCCUGAUGCAUCGACAAUUCUUCAAAUUCAACCUUCUCAUCAGUCCUGACUCCAUCCAUAUUGAGGUGCUACAGUAGAGCCGAUAAUCAAUUUGCUAUUUGUGUUUACCACUCCUAAGUGUGGUAGCCUUACAAUGUUCGUUCCCCCUCAGACUAGGAUGUUUCAUGUCACUAGGUAAUGAACCUGGUGGUCGAGUAUUCAGAUUUGAAGCAAGUUGUCUUAACUGCGCUUCCAAUGCUCGAAUAGAAGAUAAUUUCUCUUGUACGAUAGCUUCCGUGUGAGUAACAUGCUCCCGCAUUAACGCCUCAAGACUUGCUAAUAGGGUACGAAGUAGAAGCAUUAAUGUACGGUUGUAACAGCCUGAUUUUGGGCCUAGUCGGAACAGUGGUUUCGGGAACAAAUUUUACGAAGAAAAUCUAUUUUAUAUAUUUUAUGUCUACGAUUUUAUGAAUGAUUUUUUGAAAAUUUCGUUCAAAAAUUUCAACGUUUGGGCACUCAAUUUAGUAAAAGGACUAAAUUGUAAAAAGUAAAAAAGUUGAGUUCUACAUGUUAAAAGUGUCCAAUUGUUAUGAAAUUUUAAUUAGAGGUCCUUAAAUGGAAUUAGACCAUUGGUUACUUGUUGGACAAAAUGGACAUGAGAUAAGUGAAAUAGGAUAUUUUUAAGUUGGGGGCAUUUUGGUCAUUAGUAAUUAAAGAUUAAAAAGGCCCAAAAUAGCCAAAUUUGUUCAUCUUCAAGCCUUGGCUGAAUUUCACAAGGGGGGAGUGAUAUUUAGGGUUUUCAAGCUUCCAAGCUCCAUAGUAAGUGAUUCCAAGCCCCGUUUUUAAUGUUCUUUACGGUUUUUGAAGUCUCGGUAACUUGAUUUAGCUUAUUCUAGCACAAUUUAACCUAGGUUUUAUAUUUGGAAAAAAUACCCUAGGGUGUGAAAUGUGUUUUUUUAAUGUUUUAUGGUAGAAUAUGAAGCUUGAAAUUAUGUUUAACAACUUUUGCUAAGCGAUUUUAAUGAAGAUGAGUUAAACGACAUAAUCGAUAAAACUACCUAAUGUUCAUAAGUAAGUGUUAGAGUGGAAUUCGAUGUUUCCAUAGAAGGGAAAAAAUUUCAGCAUGUCAUAAUACAUAAGAAUAAGGAUGAAGUUUACUUUACGAGCUUUGGGGAAAAAGUGUAAAUAUGUAAAAGUUUAGGGGUAAAUUGUAAUUUUGCCAAAGUUUGAGUCAAGGACUGUUUUGAUAAAUGUGAGUAUUAAAUAAGUCAAAUGUGUUAUUUUAGAUCAAUAAAGAAGUGGAAUCGACCUAGAUCGGAGAAAGAAAAAUAUUAAAGACUAAAUUGCUAAAUUUUUAUAUUAUUGCCACCAACGUAAGUUAUGUGUAAAUAAUAGCAAUAUAUUUUUAUAAUUGUGAACAAUAUUUUAUAUGUGAAUUAAUAUUGAAUGUGGAAGGAAAAUUGUUCAUGAAUUAUUCAAGUGAUAAAGUGUUUAAAAUAAAGUGUUAAGUGUAAAUUCCCGGUUAAACUUAGGAAUAGAAGUGGAUACAAGUGACAGGUCACUAGAGACCAGUGUUACAGUGAGUCCCGGGUGCUGGGUGAUCUAGCAUGUGUUGCAGACACCUGAUAGCUUGUGUGAGCAGGCCCGUGGACAUUUCCAAUGUUAUUAAUCAGUGGUAGCUUCGGCUACAUUUCAGUGGUAGCUACAGCUACAUAUCAGUGGUAGCUUCGGCUACAUUUCAGUGGUAGCUUCGGCUACAUUUCAAUGGUAGCUAUGGCUACGCAUCAGUGGUAGCUUCGGCUACAUAUCAGUGUGGCACUUAUGUGCUAAUUCUCUACGUAUCCACGUAUAUUCCUAGUGUUCAAUGGGAAAUUGACUAAGUGAAAAUACAUGAUAUCAUGUAACGAUUAAGUGUAAUUGAAUGAUGAAUAUAAGUGUGGAAUUGAAUUGAAUAUUGAUCAAAAGUGAAAAAGUGAAAUUAUGAAAUAGUAGAAUUAGCAAUAAAAUAGUUUUUGACAGAAAUAGUUAUGUUAAUUUGAAAAAUCACCGAAAAUGGUGGAAGUCAAAUUAUAGAGUGAAUAAGAUAUUAAAUGAAAGGUUAAUGAGUCUAUUUUUACAUAAAAGAAAUAGAGAAAGCAAAAGACUUACAUAUUUUUAGAUAUUUUAAGUUUAGUGAGACAGGGUCAGAAUGAGUUUCGAAUCCCCUGUUCUAACUUUGGAAAAUUGUUAAAAAUUGUACAAAAAUAAUUAUGGGCUAAAAUUUAUAUGUUUAGAACCCUGAAUUAAUCUAUUUUCAAGUGAAAUAAACGUAAGUACUAUUUUAAUUUUUUACAGUGAGAUAAUUAAUUUUUAGUGAAGAGAGGUUAGAACUAUCAAGCAGUGAAAUAGGGGAAAUUUUAAUGAAUAAACUGUACUUAUUGAAUAAGCCAAAAAUUCUGAAAAUUUUAUGGUAAAAAGAUAUGUGAAUCUAGGUUCAAGGAAAAUUUACAGAUCUUAAUUUGGAGCUCUGUAUCUCCAAAUAAAAAUAAUUUAGUGACUCUAACUCAGAUAGAUAGCUUUGAAUAUACAUGUGAGUGAAUAGUAAAAUUAUAGAAAAUGUUAUUUAUAAGAGUGUUAUGUACAUUAAAGAUGUGGAACGGAGAGGAGGAGGAGGAAAAAUAAAAUAUAUGAAUGAUUUGUAUAUAAAUUGGUCAUAUGCCAAUUAUAUUUGAUAAAUGUUGAAUUAGAAAUGACAUAAUGUUUCAUUUCAAUUAGUUAUUAUGAAUUGAAUUGUAAAUUCAUAUGGAUGAAACCAAACAAUUAUUUGUUAGUAUUAUGCAUGACAUAAUGUAUUGUUCUAUAUAUAUAUUCAUGGUUGAAUUAUGAUUGUUGAGAAAGAUAGAUAAAUUGGACAGAAAGUUCAAAUUGAGUAGAACGCAGGGUUGAGUACUUUCGUUCAGUGAUAAAGACGAACUGACGGAAAAUACCAUGGAUGGACCAUGGCAAUAAGUGAUAUGUAAUUUCGUGUAAGACUAUAGUUGGGAUAUGGCAUCGAUAUAUGUUAUGUGAUUACAUGUAAGACCAUAUUUGGACUAUGGCAUCGAGAAAAUAAAGUACUCAAUUCCAUAAGACGUUCACUAAUUUGACAAAGUUGGUAAGUGUUACAUGGACUCACACUCAAGUGAUAGAUUUAUUGUGAUUGUUGAAGUUGAAUUCAAUUAAGUGAUUUCACCAAUUUGGAUAUUGUAUAUGGCAAGAUGUGUUAGUUAAUUACAUAUUUAUGAAAUGAUAUUUGAAGUUCAGUAAGUGUUAUAUGAAAUUAAUAUGAAAAGAUUUAUGAUUGUUAUUAGUAUUGUUUCUGACAUAAUGUGGAUUCUUCUAUGUUGAAAUGAUUUAACAGAUUUAUUGAGCAUAUGAAUGAGUAUGAGACUCAUACGAGUUAGUAUAGAUAUGUACAUGUGUCUUAUAAGCUUUGAAAUGAUAAGACUUGUGAAUUGUGAAUUAAUCUAUGUGAAAGUAUACGGGAUAGAUUAGCGAAUCUUUACAAGAUAUUGAAUAUUUAAUAUAUUACAAUGGUUUAAUAGGAAAAAUAUGACGAUACGAGAAUAUGAAAUAAUACGGAUCAAUUCAGGUACUUGCGAGAAGCAAGUAAUAAUUGAUAAAUUCAUACGACGAGAAAGUGAAGGAUUAUAAGUUCAUAUAUGGCUAUGCAAUGAACAAAUGGUGAUAGCUAUAAGGCUUGGAUCGAAUGAGUAUAUAUAUUAGCCCUUGUAAGCUCUAAUUAGCGAUUCGAAGAUAAUAAUUUGAAAGUUUUAAUCUGUACGAAAUUUUAUAACUCAGUUUAAUACGUUUAUAAAUGUAUGUGUUUUGGUAAUGCCUCGUACUCUAUCCCGGCAUCGAAUACGGGUAAGGGGUGUAACAAUGUGACAUUGCCAGAUUCGGCCAUAACGUUUAGGCUGGGUUUGGGGUGUUACAACGGUUGCUGUCGAUGUCUUUGAACAUGUUGAUUUGGUAUUGAAGAGUCUUGUGGCGGCAUCGAAUUUUGGUGUGGAUGUGACUAGCUUGUUGUGGAUGCAUCUGAGUGUCCUGAUUGUAGUUCUGCUGCUAUUGAUUGGAAUUCCCUUGUCUAGGACUAUAAUUGUCCUAAGUAGAUGUAUUCUCAUAUCUGAAUCUCGCAGCAUUUUGUCUAGCAUUCUGAGUUCCCCAAAACUAUUGGUUGUGUGUAGAGUUGUUGUAAGAAUUACCAUAAGAAUUUUUGUGGAUGUUACUAAUAUAACAAGCAUUCUCUACAUGUUGUGGACAAUCUUCAUAGCUAUGGUUGUCACCACAAAUCUCACAAGAAAAAAUAGGAACAUCAACUUGCUGAGCGACUUGUAUAGGUGCAACGCCACUCGUCCCUUGCUUAUUUUUAAUCAUGUUUGUGAGAGAAGAAACUUGAGCACUUAGUGUCAUUAUUACAUCCAAUUCAAUAACUCCUAGAGCAUUUUUGCUUAUGUAGCUUGGAGAUAGGGUAUUGAUAAUCAUUCUCAUCAAUUCUCUCAAGAAUUCUCAUAGCAUCAUUAUAAGUACAAUCCAGCAGAGGUCUAUUGGUUGAUGCGUUGACAAGAUUCCUUGUAUGUGAAUUUAGCCCAUUAUAAAAAAAUCUCAAUUUGCAUUUCUGGUUGAAUGUCGUGCAUGGGACAAUGUCGAAACAAAGUUUUAUAACGUUCCCAUGUGGUGUGAGGAUUUUCAUCAUCCAGGUGAUGAUAAGCAGUAAUAUAUCAUUUCGAAGAUGAGCAUUCAUUGUCAGUGGGUUAAAUAGCAAAACAAACUAUGUUGCUAGUGCAUCCCAAGAAGUAAUUGAUCCGGCAAGUAGUCCAAAAAACCAAGUACGGGCUCUUCCUUGUAAGGAAUAAGGAAAUAAUCUUCAUGGAAUCAUGAGGAGCGCCUUGUUGACUAAAGGAAGCACAGAUCAAUAAACAGGAUUUAAGAUGUUCUCUUGCAUCUUCAUGUGGCAGUCCAACAUAUUGUCCAUUAGAAUUCAACAUUUGAAACAUUACUAGCGUGAGUUCAAAAUUCCCAGCUUGUAUUGUUGGCCAAACGAAUCCUGGUUGUAAAUCAUCCAAUACAGGUACUACGAAAUAUCGUAUAGUCCAAUUUUGUAUACGAGCAUCUUGCGGCAACAAUGGGUUAUUAACAUUUUGCUAUUGCAUUGAGGGUAUGGCUGUAUUGUUCCCUGGUAGAGCCAUAUUUCUUUGUUCUCGAAGUCUACUCUAAACAGUCCUUUCAAUUUCUGGAUCAAAAUAAACAAGAAAAUCCAAAUUUCUUCAGGUCAUAAAACACCUAAAUUGAAGUUAAAGAAAUAGCAACAAAGAAAAAAAAAUAGUUAGUGAAUACUAAAUAUUAUAUAAGGAAAAUAAAGUGCAAAAACACACAAAAACAAAAAUAAAUAUCAAACAAACGUCAUCCCCAGUAACGACGCCAAAAACUUGAUCGGUUGCUAACGUGACAGUAAUAAUGUGCAAGCAUACACUGUCGAUGAAAUUAUAGUGGAUAGAUGUGAGUCUGUCGAAUAUUGAUCCCACAGGGAUGGUACUCUUUUGUCUAUUAAUGUUGGUGCAAUAACUGGAUAUAGAUGAGAUAAAUUGUGAAGAUAGUUGUCGAUGUAAUAACUUUAAAAAUAAUAAAAUAAAAUAUGAUAAUGAUACACUAGGAUCCCUAACAUGAAUCUUCAGCAGAAUACUAAGUGCUCACAAGUUAUAAAAAGAUAGGUGAUUGUAGCAGCAAUAAAGUUCAAUGUAUAUCUUUCCCAGCGUUUCUCCUCUAUUUAAUCCGAGACUUAAACAUGCAUACUAACCUCAUCUUCUGAUGAUGACAAUAUGGAACUAUUAAGAACAAGUGGACUAAAUUCCUAACUUCCGUUGAAAUGCUUGUUGCUCAAACGGUCACUGCACUUUCCAGUGUUAGUGACUGCAAUAACAAUUCCGUGUUAAAAAACAUUCAAACCCCAAGAUUAAACAAUAAAAGCAAUAUUAAAUAAGAUUACAUUUCACCAAGAAUUCAUCAGUACUUUCAUACAAUCAAAAAUCAAAGAGUAAUCACCAGCAAUUAGAAAGAAAUAAGAAAGGAUCGAAUGGAGAAUACUAUACCUAGACAACUCGACUGAAUCUAUCUAUUUCCUCUUAUCGCGCACUUAGGUCUCCUUGUUAGGAGCUAGUCUGCAUCUGGUUUUCACGUUGGCUCACUCAUGGAAGGCUCAAGCUUCCAUGGCCGCAAGUUUAAGGUGGGAUGAUGAAGAUGAUGAUGGAGAAAAAACCUCAAGUUGGCCAUUUUUCUUCUCAUGUCCACCUUUUAUGUCCUCCUCCACAGUACAGGUGUGCUUUCCCAAAAUUAUUCUAUCCUUGUACGUACAUGUUGGUUAUACCAGACUAGAUAGCUCACGCAAUUUUGGUUCUUAUCUGGACAGCUGUCAAGUGCAGUGAAAAUUCUGGACGCAAUCCUAAAUUAACUAAUACAAUGAUAUUGCGGGUAGUUGUCAAGUGCGGUGACAAUUCUGGACGCAAUCUAGGAUUAACUCAUGCAACGACAUUAAUGCAAUAAGAUAGCAAAAUUAAGGAUAAAAUAGGCUAGGAUUUACUGAGUUAUAAAAUGCAAUUUACUAAACUGAAAAUGCUAAAAUGUAUGCUAAGGAUAACUAAAUGGGAACAAUUUAACCAAUAAGUAAGGGGGAAAACCUAUGUUCUUUCUAGUGCUAUCACCCAGCUCGGUAGUCGAUCCCGAAUAUUAGAAUAUCACACCACCUUCACACAUGGUAUCCCUACAUCGAUCGCACCACAACGCUAAUAGUCUAAAAAGGUUAGAGAGAAUGGGUGAGCUUAAACAAGCUCAGUGAAUGUUGAAAUAACCACAAGGUAUACACAACAUCAAAGGUUAAACAAUAGCAUACUACAACAUAUUCACAAUCAUAUUCUAACAAUGCCACAAUAACAUAUUCAAAUAACUCAUUUUACAAUAAUUCAUCAAGACUAAACAAUGUAUAAAUGCUUUUAUAACUCACAUGUCUAGCUUAUAUAUUCACAUGCAUUCUCAAGUUAAAUGAAAAUGACCCAAACCACAAUUACAUAUGCAAUUUACUAUAAGAACGUACUAACAUUUUCAUGAAACUUAAAUCAACUCAUUUAACAUAUUAUUUACAUGUUUAUCAUCCAUCUCACAUCUAUUAUCACAAUAAAUAAGAUCACAUUUUAAUGAUAAUUUGGCAUUUGAGGUUAUGAAACAUAAAAGUGGGCUCUACCACCACACAUCAGAUACACGGAUCUCCAACACACCAAAUGACUCAUUGAGUCGAACAUAUUCCAAAAGUGUAGCACAUAGCUAACACUCUUCAACACACCAACAUAUCCCGGUAAAUGGAUCUUAGCUCACAUUUCCUUAUCUCUGCAAACUAUCCCGGGGCCUCAAUGCCUAAAUCACAAAACACAAGUGGGAGUACUCAUAAUCCUAUGGCAUGCCAACUAUAUCCAAUGUUUUUAAGAGAUCACAAGGCCAAACUAUUCACAAUUACACAUUUUUAACUACUGAUUUAAUGCACAUCAUCUCUAUUCAUAUUCAUCAAUUUACAUCACAAACUUGUACACAAUGCAUACUUAUCGAAUUCACAUUUAAUUGCACUUUAAGUGCCACAAUAAUGCUCAUUAAGCCAUCACAUAUCCUACCACAUAUGUGUGCAUUAAAAUGAGUACAUCAUAUAUCACAUACAAGUAUUCUCACAUCUUACUUGUUAUAAUAAUAUCACAUUCCACAAUUCAACACAUAUAUCCUUACCGAAAUUCAGUUCGCUUUCACUACAUAUUUGCAUUAUUAACAUAUCAUUAUCACUGUCAUUUGGCAUGUAUAUCAUGCCCACAACACAACACAAUUCACAAUAUUCAUCACACAUGUCUCAUAUCACAUUAUCGCAUCAAUAAUAAUCAAUCUACAAUUAUUCACAUAAUCACAUAAUUUAUCAAAAUAAAACAAGAGAAAUAGAAAGCUUACACUCAGAACUUAAGAUAGGGUUUUAGUCUAUUCCUAAGCUCCCAAUUAAAACUAUGAAUCGUGUCUACAAGUAGCGGUUUCAAACACUCACCGAUCACGCUUUCGCCUAAUUGCCAAAAGUUUAAACUAGUUUUUCCUUGCUUUUUACCUUGCUCGUAGAAGGCUCCAACGGUUCUGAUGCUUCACACAUAACAACCACACAAUAUACACAAUCAAUUAGAAGCCACAUACUCACCUAAACCAACCAAAAAUGCAAGCCUAAGCUAUAUUCCUCAUGAACUAAAAUUUCGACUAGCAAACUUGAAACUCAAUUAUCUCGGUCUAUAAUUAAUCUUUCGCCUAAAAUUGAUUCCAUUCAUCUAAUUAUUCCCCUACGACUGAUUCUCAACCUCUAAAUUACGUAAAACUACUCAAUUUAUGGUAUCAAAAUUUUUCGACAUAUCAUGGCAAUUUUCAUGAAAAUUCAAUAAAACUUUACAAAACUUUAAACUCAGUUAGAAACCUUCUAUUCACAUCAAAACUAAUUGAAAAACAAUUUGAAACCACAUUUUUAGCCAAAAUUUUGAAAUCCACCAUUAACGACCCUAUUUUUUGUUUGUAUUCAAAAUAUGUGAUUUAAUGGGUAAAAAUUCAGUUUAAAAGACCAGAUAACAUUACAAACUAAUAAGGAAUCGAACCAUUACCUUCGAUAGAAGAAAAAAGAGCUUUUAGUUGAAAACUUGAAAAACCCACAAGCUUGAGAGAUGGAAAAAUUAAUGGUGUUUUGGGGUUUUUUUUUUCCGAAAUUCUAUGGAGAUUUAUGGCUUGGAUGAUGAUAGAAAUCAAUUGAUUAAAGUUUAGGAAUCAAAGUUGUGUGGGAAGAGCUUUUGAAAAACGGCCACAAAAAACAAAGGGGGAAGAAACUAAUGUGAAUAACCUAUAGGUGGGGGAAAUAUUAGGUUGAUUUUUAAAAUUUGGUUUAAUUGCCUUAUAAACACUAAAAAUUUAGACCCUUUUACAAAUCAAUCAUUAUUUUAAAAUUUAAAGUCUUUUCAACAAUAUUUUCAAAAUUUGAUUUAAUUUUCUAAAAGCCAUAGACGAAAACAUUUUCGGUUUACCAUGCUACAAAAUUCCCGCACACAUUAGAGCUAAAACCUCUAUUUUACCCUCAAAACUUCUAGGCCCAAUUUUAGGGUAUGACACACUUGCUACUCAACAUCUCACUGUUUCAAGUUAGCAUAGGACUUCUGUCUAUUUAAAGCAGCCUUGCCUUUUACAUAUCAACUUCACCAUGUCUUCAGUUUCACGAGCCAAAUCAGGUCCAACGAUUCGUUUCUCAUCCAGCUCAGCCAAACACAGAGGUGUUUGCCACCUCAUUCCAUAUAGUGCUUCAAAAUGUGCCAUCUGAAUACUUGCUCGGUAACUAUUAUUAUAGACGAAUUCUGCCAAAGGUAAAUAAUGUUCCCAACUUCCUGCAAAUUCCAAAAUACAGUUUCACAGGAUGUUUUCCAACACUUGCAUCACUCUCUCAAAUUGGCAAUCUGUUUGAGGGUGAUAAGUAGUACUGAAAUUGAACGUCCCACUCAAAGUUCAUUGUAAACUCUUUUAAAAUCUCGAAUUAAAUUUAGGAUCUCGGUCAAAAGUUAUGGAAAUUGGCACGCUAUGCAAUCAUACUAUCUCCGUAACGUAGAUCACUAUGAGCCUUUACAAAGAGUAGCUCAUGCAAAUAGCUAAAAAGUGUGCACUCUUGGUAAGGCAGUCUACAAUCACCCAAAUAGCAUCUUUUUUUGUCGCAAUCAAUGGAUAUCCCAUAACAAAAUCCAUUGUGAUCCUUUCUCAUUUCCAUUCUGGAAACUUCAGUGACUGAAGUAGUCCUGAAGGAUAUUAGUGCUCUACUUUUACUUUUUGACAAGUUAGCAUUUCGCCACAAACUCUGUAACAACUCAUUUCAAUCCAGACCACCAAUAAAGGCCUCAGAGGUCACGAUACAUCUUGUUAUCACCUGGGUGCAUUGCAUAAUGGCUAUUGUGGGCUUCGCUAAGGAUCAUCUAUUGAAGCUCUUCAUCAUUGGGUACACAAAGUCUUCCAUGAAAAUAGAGUACUCCUUCAUCAUUCAGCAUGGAAUCUCCUUGCACUCCUUGUUCAAUUUGGAAAACCCUCUUCACUAACUCUUCAUCUGAAGCUUACUUCGCCUAAAAUUGCUGUGACAAAGUUGGCCUCACUUGUAGUUCCGCGAGCAAUCCCCCAUCACUUGUCAUACUCAGCUACGCGAACAGAGCUCGAAACUCAUUCAUAGAUUUCCUACUUAGAACAUUAGCUACCACAUUUUCCUUGCCAGGGUGAUACUCUAUCACACAGUCAUAAUCCUUUAGUAACUCAUCCACCUUCUCUGUCGCAGAUUAUAGACCUUUCUCUAGACAAGUAGUGUCACCAAACCUUGAGUGCGAACACUAAUGCUGCUAGCUCCAAGUCAUGAGUUGGAUAGUAACGCUCAUGAACCUUCAGUUGAUUGGAAGCAUAAGCUACCACAUUUUCCUCCUACAUCAAGACGCAUCCAAGCCCUGUAUGAGAGGCACCACUAUAAACAACGAACUCCUUCCCUGGUUCUGGUUGAAUCAAUAUAGGUGCUUUGGUGAGCAUCUCCUUACGCUUGUCGAAGCUUUACAACAUUUCCUCAGUCCAACUGAACUCAUCUUUCUUCUGAAGUAACUUUUCUAAGGGUGCCACAAUAGUGGCAAACCCAUUAACAAACCUGCGAUAGUAACCCAUGAGUCCUUAAAAGCUUCGCACUUCAGAUACCCUCCUAAGCAAUCUCCACUCUACAAUGGCUUUGAUCUUCUUUGGGUCCACGCAAAACCCUUCAACUGAAACGAUGUGCCCCAAAAAAACCAUUUCUUUUAGCCAAAACUCACACUUGUUGUACCUCACGAAAAACUGUUGUUCUUGUAGAAUCUGCAACACAGUUCGUAGAUGGGUGUCAUGCUCUUCCUCAGUUCGCGAAUACACCAGGAUGUCAUCAAUAAACAGUACCAUACAGCGAUCUAGGUAUUCAUGGAAUACUCUAUUCAUUAGGUCCAUAAAAUCAGUAGGUGCAUUUCUCAACCCAAAGGGCAUUACCAAAAACUUGUAGUGCCCAUAUCUUGUUCUGAAUGUUGUCUUCAACACAUCGGAUGUUGGGUCGCCAAGACGCCCCGUGGUGCAGCAAAAAAAUUAUUUCCCUGAUCUAAACCAAGAAUCCAUGCACGAGGAAUGAAUUGAGAAGGAAAGGUUUGAAAAUAUAUCUUUCAAAAUCAAAAAAAUACGAAGAAACAACUACUGGUUUAAUCCCCUUCGCACGCUGCCGAUCCAAAGCCGCAAUAGAAUCGUCCCAAUCUCUACGUAGCCCACCGAGUUGCAAACGAACGAACAAAAACUCUUUCUAAACGUUUUAGAGAAUUUUUCUUUUUCAAAAAAAAUGCGGUUGCUAGACCUAGGUUUCUUUUCCUUUUCGUGGUUAAUGUUGGUAACACUCUCUCACCUUAGGAUUUUUAUGAUUCCUUUUUAUUUUAAUAUCUAUAUUAAAACCGGAAUCACCCCUUUUGGGUGCUAGAAAAUAUAUGGAAAAUAUCAUAAUGUAAUAUUCUUUCCAAAAAGAUAUUAAUUUCCAUAUAUUUUAUGUUUAAUCGAAAUUAUUAUAACACUUUAUUUUAAUAAUUUCAGUAAACAAUACAUAAUUAAUAUUUUAUAUGAAUCAAAUUUAUACAUUUAUUUUAAUUAAGUUCCCUAUUCUUGUACAACAAAUUUGUACAUAAACUAUGUUUAUUAUUUAACUAUCAAAUUAAAUUAAUUCAAUAAUUAAUAUAAUUCUCAUAAUAGUUAAAUUUAAUACCAAUUGUGUUUAGAUUUAUUUCGUUUCAACCAUAGGGUGUGACCCUGUAGGCUCUUGUAACAUUGGUAGUAAUACUAGAACACUUCUAACAUUACAAGCAAUGAGUGGCAUCUAGCAAUGCAUCAUCGCAACCCAAGUUACAAGAAGUCGUAGUUCGAUAUAACUUUUUUGUGAUAAAUUUUCAUGUAUUUUAUCCUUUUGUCCUUUAUAUCUCGAUUGGACACAAGUCAUGGAAUAGUCACACUUGCAAAGUCCAAUCUCAUGAUUCUUGAUACCCGAAGUAGACUACAAUAAACAAAUAAGUGUAAUAUCUCAUAUUAACUUAUUUGAGCAUGGCCAUGCACUUCUAGUCUCACUUCAUCAAGAGGCCUAAGAUAUUGCUCCCAUCAUGAAGGAGGGACAAAUCCUAACUUGAUCAACCAUAUCCCACUACAUAGAUUGUGGCAUACCCAACAUCAAUCUUUAUAGUACAACCUACUACGCUAAACGUUUGGCUAUAUCAAAAUAUACGACUCACUAUGUUGGAACAAUGAUGAUCUCAAGUCUAAGGAUCGUAUACAUAGUUAUCACUCUGAGUACUGUUGUGACUAUUAUAUAAUAAUCCAAGAAACAUACUCAUAGCGGGUCAGCCCAAUAUGUCGUUCUAUAACAUAUACUCAUGUAUUGAUUUUGACAUCUCUAUGUCAAUGACAACACUUUGUCAUCAAUCAACUACAUAUUAGUCUUAAUGCAUUAUUAUUGCCCAAGCCCAUAAUAAUACUUGACUAAGGACCUUUUAAGAAUAAUCAUAUUAUUCAUAGGACAUUAUUAUAAAUCAGUUUAUUUUACACACACAAAAAGUGAAACUGAAAUAACAAUAGCAAUGCAUUUUAUUAAUAAACAAGGUAGAAUGAAAACCUGAUUACAAUCAUAUCAUGAUUAGUCUUUGGGUACACUCUAACAUCGGAUUCCUUCACCUUGAGUUGGUAAUAACCAAAUCACAAAUUGACAUUUGAAAACACAAUGGCACCUCGCAGCUGAUCAAACAAGUCAUCAUUUCUUGGCAAAAGGUAUUUGCUUUUAACAAUUAACUUAUUUAACUAUCUGUAGUCAAUGCACAUCCUCAUGCUACCACCCUUCUUCUUCAAAAAUAGAACUGUCAAAGCCCAAGGUGAUAUGUUUGGUUGAAUGAAUCCUUUAUCAAGCAGCUCCUGAAUUUGUAUCUUCAGUUUCUUAAGUAUUGUACCAUGGGAUACGGCAUAAUCGACACUGGCAAACUAUCAGGGUACAACUCAAUGGUGAACUCCACUUUGUGGUCUAGAGGUAACCUACGUAACUCGUCAGGAAACACAUCAAUAAAGUCUUUUACAUUUCGCAUCUCGCAAAAACCUUUUGUCACAUCCUGCGAACCCAUCACAAAAGUGAGAUAGGCUUCGUAGCCUUUACCUAGUAUCUUUUCUACCUUCAAUGUUGAAACCACAUUACACAUAACCUAAGCUUGCCCACCAACCAUAACCACUUCCUUGUCUUUACUGCUUCGUAAAAUGACUUUCUUUAGUUCAAAGUCGAUCUUGGUUUUGUGCUCAGUCAGUCAAUCCAUUCCAAAAAUCACAUUGAACUCAUAAAAUGGCAAUUCCAUCAAGUUCACAUAGAAAACUUGACCUUGAAUCAUCAGUGGACAUCGACGGUACACUCUAUUAACCAAUCAACUAUCCCUAAGUGAACUAGUGACAAACACACAUUUAUCUAUGGUCUCUAAUGGAAUUCCCAAUUCACUAGCUAGUUCGCUCAGAACAUACAAGUGUGUAGAACCAGAGUCAAUUAAGGAAAACAAAGGAAUAGUUUGUAAAGUAAAGGUACAUGUAAUUACAUUUGUUGCACCUUGCUUAUGGGGUUCCCUUACUGUAUAGACUCAUGCGAGGCCUUCUAAUUCUUCCUCUUAGGUUGCGACAGUGUAAGCUAAAGUUUGUUGCCCAACUGGCCUUGUUUCACCACCUCUACCUCUUUCUCGACCACGGGUAACAUCUUGCUCUUGAGUGGGGUCACAAUCUGAACUUACGAACCAUCCCGACAUUCUGGACAAUCUUUUAUCAAGUAGUCCUUAGAAUCUCACUUGAAACAACUUCUAAUCAUAUUUUGACACUUACCAAGGUAUCUUUUUUCACAGUGUUCACAGAAUGGCUAGCUCAUAGACUUGUGUGGACCUUCCUUUUCACCUUAGGUGUUGUUUUUUUGACGUGAAUGGUCUGACCUAAAGCUUGGCUUCAUGUUUCUACCAGAUUUUUGAAGGUCGUGGCAACUUUUGGACACUCGCCCAGACACUUGUUUUUCAGCUCCAAAUUCGGUUCGUAGAGCCUUAAUAUCUUCAAUCGCUUUGGCCUUGUCCACCAGGUCAUCAAAGUUCACAUUAUCAUGAGUCACCAGGUAAAUCUAGAUGUCACGAUGCAGUCCGAAACGAAAUCACUGACAAUGAUCUUUCUCCUGUGAAACCAUUUCUGAUGCAUACUGGCCUAGUUGCACAAAUUUUUCCUCCUACUCAGCCACUGACAGUUCAACUUGUACAAGGUUGAUAAACUCACACUUGCGAGCCUCCAUUUAUUGCUCGCCCAUAAACUUCUUUUUGAAAGUCCCUAAGAAGAAUUCCCAUGUCAAUCUAUCCACAGUUAUUCCUUGUUUCAUAGUAUUCCACCAACGAUGUUCUUCGCCGGUGAGUAAGGACACAUUACAACCCAACUUUUCUUGAUUAGAACAUGUCAUCUGCUCAAGGAUUUUCUCGACACCCUCAAGCUAAUAUACAACUUUGGUAGGGUCAACUCUACCACCCAGAGCUCACAGACACUCUAAUGGCAAACCAUGGUUCGUAGGUGCAACAUUGGGACCAGUAACUCGUUGAAAAGUACCAAUCACAUCUUGAACCAAAGCCUCCAUGUAUUCUUCCAAGAUAUUAGCCCUAUGGGGUCACUCUUGCGUAGUCGAAGUCCAGUUACCUUCUGAGGGGUUAGCACCUUCGUUCACAUAGUUCACAUUCACUCUACGGGGAGGCAUUCUCGCUUACUCUAAACAUACACGAGAUACUAACUUAGGAAAGACUUCAAACACACGUAAUUGGGUACCACAACUUAACAGACAAACUUGCGAACAUAGUUCGCAUAUAGCUAACACACUUGCGAACACAGUUCGUCAAAUACAACUUACUUACUGGAUUAGCAAAUAGCAAAUGGUUGAUCCGAGGCAUAAUCCUGCAAAAGAUAUAGUUGAACCAAAGGAAAUGUUGAUCCUAGUCCUACCCCAAACAAGCAAUUUCACACAUAUCACUUCAAAAUCUUACCUUAUCAAUUCUGGUGGACUCACUUAGCUAAUUUUGGCAAAAACACCUCGCCACCUUAGCGAGCUUACCUGUCAAAUGGUUAGUUUGACGAACACAACUCUAAUACCAACCAAUGUAACACCCCAAACAUGGCUAAGUAGGUUCAACCCGAAUCUGGUAAACUACAUUAGCCACCGAAAUGACUCUCAGUUAACUUCCAACCUAACCUCCAACACACCACUUAAUAAUGACAAAUAAUGUGUUAAAAUUAAAACACAACAGCAAAAAUAAUUCACACACAGUGAGCUUAUAAAACCACAAAGGUAGGUUCAUAUUUCAAUUAUGAGCAAGUUAAGGUUCUAAUAUGUGCUAAAAGUAACAUAUUUAAUCUCAUUCUUAAUGCGAUUUUGGGUGAUUAUUCGCUAUUAAUGGUGAAUUUUAUGCUCCUAAUCCUUUAAAUUCAUGUUUUUUUACUUAAGAGAGCAUUUGGGAGAAAAAGGAGCAAAAAACAAGUGAAAAUUAAAAAAUUGAAACAAGUUAUAGAAGCCACACGAGCUGACCCCUUCCAUAUGGCCUGAACACACUACCAUGUGACCCACAAGGGUUGUCACACAACCAUGUGCUAGGUCAUGUCGAUUGCGUAAAUUUACACUCUGAACAGCGACAAACACAAUUUUUAGAUUUUUCGGGCAUUCUAAGACGUAUAUAUGACAAAAAUAAGAAGACAGAGGAGAGUCGUCAUAGAAUACUCAAGAAAAUAACUCGAAAAACAUUAUUGAAGCCGACUCUAAAGUAGAUUUUCGUCAAGAUUUAAGAUUCCCAAUUGAUUUCUUAGGAGAUUAUCAUGAGUUUCUUUGUUUCUUUCGGUUAUACUGUCACUUGGUUAUUUUUAUUUUCAAGCAUGAACUACUUUUCUAAAUACCUAGAGGAGAUGAACCCUAUGAUGAAUUCUAUCUUUUUAUUAUUUUUUAUGCAAUAAAUACUUAAAUUUUGUUCUAAAUUAUGUGUGCUUAAAUCUUGUUUUGAUAUUUCUAGAUUACUUAUCCAUGUUUGAUCUACUUAAAUCAAACGAGGAAUAAAUCCUAUUUAAGAGUAGAUCUUGCGUAAUUCAGUGGAGUUGCAUGCAAUCCUAGACAUAGAAUGACAUAAAUCUACCAAAUUAGAGUCAAAUCUAAUAGGGGAACCUAUUACACGAGUUAAUGUGAUAAUAGGGGUUCUAAUUAGAAAGAAAUUUCAAUUAAUCAACCUAGAGUAAGGUGCUCUUACUCUCGAAAGAGAUAUUAGCAUAAUUUAGGGAUUUCUAUGGAUCAAGAUACUAAGUAAAGAAAUUUCAUAAUUUAGAUUGACAUUGACAGAUGAAAUCUAGGUGAAUUCUUUCCUGGGUAUUGUUUUGCUUCUUGAUUGUUAUUCGAUUAUUUUCGUGAUUUGUUCUUUGUCGUGUUCUUAGUUAAUUAGAUUAGCUAAUUUUAGUUUUAAAUCAAUCACUCCAAUUAUUCGGUUAAAUAAUAGAAAGACAGUAAUUACUAGUACUUUUAAUCUUUGUGGUAAUGAUAUCUUUGCUCACCUUAGCUAUAUUAUUAAUUGAUAAGUGCACUUGCCUAAGUCAAAUUUUUAGUCGGUUCACGAUGCAUCAGGUUCGCAAAUAACAACUUAGACUAUGUUCACCCAUACAAGCUCACAACAUAGGUUAAAUCAUUCAUUAUCACUUAAGUUAACAUUAUGACAGUUCGCCUAAUUUUACUAAGUUCACACCAAAACACACAUCAAAGUUUUGCAUACUACAAGUUUCGUGGAUAAAGGAUAGUACAUGCCAAGGGGUUUCAUACUCUAACAGUGUUUGUCUGCAUGCAUAGGAUCACUAAAUCAGGGGUACGCAUGUAAUUUUGCAAUCACAAACAUACAAGGAUCACAAAAAACAAUACUUAGUAAUAAAUCAGACUUGCAUAUUUUAAUAGCAACUCAACGUAACACUCAUGCAUGAAAACAUCGAUUUUACUCAUAACAUAAGAUAAUCAAAUAUUCUAAGUCAUGGUUAACAAAACAAAAUAGCUAAAACUUUAAAAGAUUUAUUAGGAUAACAGAAUAUAAUAAGUCUAAAGCCCUAAUAAAAUAAACUCCGUCACUUAUUUUCCCAAGUUCGCUAAUAUCCAGUCAAGAGUGAGCGUCACCAAGUCAUUUACCUCACCAUUACUAUCAGAGACCUACUUAUCUGCGGAGAGUUCAAUGUGAACUUGGUGAAUAAUCAAGAAUCAACAUGGUAUGCUUCAAAACUAAGCCUUAAAAAUAGAAAAAAGCUUAGUCUUAAAAUCAUUUCGCGUGUUGGGUUCGCGGGUGAGGUUGCGAGACCCAGUUCAUAAAUCCUGUCAAAAACAGAAGUUUGUAAAACAAUUUCUCAGGUGUUAUUGAAAAUCAUGCUUACAAACUUAGCUUAUGCUUUCUUGAAAACAAAACUCAUUCAGCAUAAAAUCAUGCUUACAUGCUUAUCUUAUCAAAACGGCUAAAAAACAUAAAAUAUGUUCUCGCACUUAACACACUUAUGAGAAUGGCUGAAGAACAUAAAAUAUGUUCACACACCUAACACACGUAUCAGAAUGGUUGAGGAGCAUAAGAUAUGUUCAAGCCCCACCCUUGUAUUAGUCUUGUUGGAUAUGUCGAUCUUCUUAUAACGCCUCAAAAUUACUCAAAGAGUCCUUAUAACAUGUCUCAUAAGUGCAGCCUGAAGUAAUACACUCUCUUGUACACCAUGUCCCAGUGAAUGGAGCAUAGCUCGACAUUCCCUUAUCUCUCCACAUGUCCCAAGGCUUCAAUACCCAAAAUCAUAGAAAUAGAAGGGUGAGUACUCACAAUCCUUCGGUAUACCAAUAUAUUCAACAUAACUCACAAAAGAGCACGCACAGAGACUUAUCAUAGAGAGCUCACAUAGAGAGCUUAUUUAUCACAAAGAGCUCGCAUAGGGAGCUUAUUUAUCACAGAGAACUCCCAUAAAAAGCUUUCUUGAAAACACUUAUAAAGAGCUCGCACAAAAGCUCGUAAAAACACAGUUUAUAAAAUCGUUCUUAAAACAUGCUUAAAAAUAUCAGCUCGCUUAGGAGCUCGAAUAAAAUGUAUUUUUAAAACACACUUAAAAACACAUUUUAAAAACAGAGUCUUAGAACUUAAAAACAGUGUUUUUUUGUCAAAAACUUACUUUUGGAACUUCAUUUCAAAACGAAGUUCUUGAAAACCAUUACAUUUCACACACAAGAUUCAAACGUUAAACAUUUAGAUUGAAAAUCAUAAUAGUGAACAUACUUAUGACGAUCCAGAUCACUCACCGAAAAACUAAGAAACUAAACAAGCUUGGCUUUGCCUUUAUCUUUGCUGAUGGAUGGUUCGGCUAGUUCUUAAUUUAAACAAACACACAAAUUACUUAAACAGACCGUACUUACAGAAUUCACACAUGUAACCGAACUUAGCUUUCUGGAAAAUCACCUAACAUGAUAGAGACUUACCUUGAUCACUACCAACUUCGUUCAAAAACAAAACCAUGAUGGCAGAAUAUUUAAUGAGGGAAUUCUCAUGAAUUAAGGUUCGUAUUUAUAGACCUAAGUGCCUAGAAAUCUUAAAAUACCCUACUAGACUUAGGAAAGACAUUACUUGCAAGUAAUGUAUUCCUAGAUACACUAAUCUUUAUUUCUUAAUUCGAGUCUGACUCAAUCUUUGAUUGGUGAACCUCAGUUUACCAAACAGACUGGUGAUCCCCUGAGUUCACAACUUACCUAGCCAACCCCAGCUCGCCAAACACGCUGGCAAGCAUAUAUGUAGAAUCUAGUUAACCCCCUUACUGCGUCUUUUGGCGUAUAUUGUUAUGCUAACAAACUGGCGAACUCCCCUUUUGACGAACUCUCUAGUUCAUCAAAACAUUGGCGAACCCUUACUUGCAAAGCCGAAACUUCAAAGCCCUAUCUCAAGAUGUUACAUAUUGAGGCACCACGUCCAUUGCCACUCGUCCUUUCGAUUCAUUAUCAUAGUAUUACUUUAGCCAGCUACUUGCAACCACACACUACUUAGAUUGAAGUCCCCAUCCACUGAAAAAUUCCAACACAUAGAUUCUCUUUGACCUCCCUCUUCAAAGAUAGGGAUACUUAAAAAAUUUCACCAAAUGAGGCUAUGGCAGCUUGAUAGAUAGCGGGGGUCUACCACCAGCUUCCUAAACCUUUCUUAAUGGUCUAAAGGUGAGAUCCUCCUCUUCUUUAUUCAGCAUCCCCACUACUAUGGAUCAGAUUGGACGAUUGGACCUAAACCAAACCAAUUAUCAUGCCACACAUUUAUAUUAGUCCCAUCCCCAACAAUCUAACUAAGACCUUUCUGUAAUAAAGGCCAACAUUACUUAAAGCUUUCCAAGUUAGAGAGGCAUCAAUAGGUGGUUUAACCAAAUCACAACCUUCUACAUAUUUACAAAAUGGAAUUCUAGCCCACAGUUUAUUUGGCUCGUGGAUUAGUCUCCAACCAAGCUUGAUUAAGAAACCUUAAUUCUUAUCUUUAGCAAAAUAUAGGACUAGACCCUCCUCGAUUUUAGGUUUCGUCACUUUGCUCCAUUUAAAAAGGUGUGUUCUCUUCUUGGUAUCAGAGCCACCCCACAAGAAAUUCCUACUUUUUUUAUUGAUGUCCUCACAAACACUGAUUAGAAAGGCUCGACACUACAUAUAGUAAUUAAGGACAGUGAUAAGAGUCGAGUGAAUUAAAGUAAGUUUACCCACUCAUGAUAAAUAAUUACUCUUCCAUGUACUAAGCUUUGCCUGAACACGAUCCACUGUAAAGUUGUAAUCACUUUUUUAAACUCUAUCUGAGUAGAUUGGGGAACAGAGGUAUCGACCCAGAUCAUCAGUGCUUCCAAAAUUCAAGCACCCAAGAACUCUAAAUCACUAAAUAUGGCCAGUGUUCUUAGAUAACAGAAUCCUAGAUUUGGCAAGGGUAACUUUUUACCCUGAUCCAGUGUUCUUAGAUAACAGAAUCCUAGAUUUGGCAAGGCUAACUUUUUACCCUGAUUCCCAAAUGAACUCUUUAAAAACAUAUGGGAGAGAGUAGGUCCUCAUCUCGAGGUACAGAUGCCCCUCCACGAUUUCAUUUUGAUGACUUUGCAGAUAAAGAGAUUGAGGUAUUCCAUGAAAAUGAUGAAAACGUAUGGGGAUAAAGGGUCACCUUGUCUAAUACCCCUUAAAGGUGUAAAGCUAUUAAGCUUACCAUCAUUAGCAAAACAGUCAUAAAAAUUGAGAUACAAUUUAGAAUAAGAUUGAUCCAACUCGAGGAGAAAUUAAAAACACAACACCUUUUGGAAAAAGUCUCAUUUGAUUUUAUCAUAAGCUUUCUUCAUAUCGAGUUUAACAACCAUUGACCCAACUUUCCCUUUUAAUCUCUUGAAAUAGUGAAUCACUUCCUACACAACAAUGGCAUUAUCAGUGGUUUGACAGCCCCAAAUGAAGCUACAUUGUAUAGGAGAGACUAACCUAUCAAGAAGGGAUUUGAGGCGUAACACUAAAAUUUUUGUAAUAAUUUUGAAAGAGGUGUUACAAAGACUGGUCAACCAAAACUGUUGGACUUGGGUCAGGGCAUUCUAUUUCGGGAUUAGAGAAAUAAGUGUAUCAUUGAUCUCUUUAGGAAUCUUCCCACUAUUAAACGUAGUGCGGACCGCCUCAAUCACUUUACCUUUGACAGUUUCCCAACAUUUAUAAAAGAUGAAGCCCAUCAGGCCAGGAGCUUUGUAGUGGUUCAACGAGAAAAUAGUCCUAUAGAUUUCCACUUCUAAAAUGGUCUAUCGAGAGCAAAUCUAUCAUUAUCCUCUAGGGGAGCCAAAGAAAGAGAGGAAUUUAUGAUAUUAAGCGGUACUUCUUCUUUCGAAGAGCAAUAGAGAUCACAAAAGAAAGAAUUGAUGAUGCAUUCAGUCUUUUUUUUGUUAGUGCACCAAUCUCUAUUAGCGUUUUCUAAUCCAUCAAUCUUAUUGUAACUUCAUCUUUUCAAGGUAGUGAGAUGGAAAAACCUCAUGUUUCUCUCACUUUCAAUAACCCAAUUGACACUAGAUUUCAUAACCCACAAGUCAUCUUCUUGCUUGAGAAUGUCUUGAUAUUCCUUGGUGAGAUUUUUUUGAAGGUUAACCAAGAAAUCAUUCAGGCUAAUUUCCAAGGCUCUUUCAAUCCCUCUAAGUCUAGCCAUGAGUUUCUUUUUUUUGUAGAACACACUGCCAAAAGUGGAACGAUUCUACUGAUUAAGAUACUCCAUCAAGCAUUUAAUAUAAUUCACCAAAAGGUUCCCUAAUCUUUUCCCAAAGGGACUUUAGGAUGUACGGGAAAUCUGAGUGAUCGAGCCACAUUUUUUAAAAAUGCACAGGUUUAGUGUUUGGACGCAAAGGUUUGCAAGAUAAGUUUAAAACAACAGGUCUAUGAUUAGACUUUGUACGGGUGAGAUGAUUCUCUACAGCAUCAUACAAAAGGUGCCAUUUGGGAUUUGCAAAAUCCAUGUCAAUGCGCUCUUGAAUAAGCUGACUAGCAAAGCGAAGAUUAGACCACGUGAACUGGGCUCUUUUGAAGCCCAAGUCAAUCAUAUUACAACAGACAGUUAUGAAAUUCUCUAAUCCGAUACAGAGAGACCAGUCUCCCACCUUUUUUAUCAUGGCUAGAUAAGACUGUUGAAGUCGCCAGCCAUAAGCCAAGGUAACUGAUGAUGUUGCGAAACAUGUUUCAAAUUAUCCCAAACCUUACGUCUAAGUAUAAACUUUAGGCUAGCAUAAAUAGCAUAUAACAGCCAGUAGGAAUUCGAGGGGUGUACCUUAACCAAUGCGUAAAUCUCUUGUUCUGUGGUGUGCAACUCCUUAAUGGUCACUAGGUUCGAACGCCAUAAGAGCCAGAUACCCCCUUGAAACCCAACGUGUUCAUAUCAGUCCAAGCAUCCAACGGGAACUUAUUCAUAAUGAGCGGAACAUUUCCAGCACGAACUUGUGUCUUGGUAAUUAUCAUAAUAGCGGGGCUAUGGACAACUGCUAAAUCUUUCACUAUCUGUAACAGCCCGAUUCUGGGCCUAGUCGGAAUAGUGGUUUCGGGACCACAAAUCCGACGAGGGAAAAUAUGGUUAUUAUUAUAUUUUUAUGAUCUACAAUUUCACGGAAAAUUUUCGUAAAAAUUUCGUUCGAAAAUUUCGACGUUUGGGCACUCAAUUUAGUCAAAAGGACUAAAUUGUAAAUAGUGCAAAAGUUGAGUUCUACAUCUUAGAGGUGUCUAAUUGUUAUGAAAUUUUAAAUUGGAGGUCUUUAUGUGGUAAUUAGACCAUUAGUUAGUUGAUGGACAAAAAUAGACAUAAGAAAUGGGUGAAAUAGAUUUUUUUUAAAUGGGGGCAUUUUAGUCAUUUGGUUAUUAAAUAGAAUUAAAUGGGAAAAAGAUGGCAAAAUAUGCUCAUCUUCUUCAUGGUGAACGAAAUCAGCAAGGGGGAAGCCAUAUUUAGGGUUUUUAAGCUUUCAAGCUCCAUAGUAAGUGAUUCUAAGCCCCGUUUUUAAUGUUCUUCGUAUUUUUGGAGUCCCGGUAACUUGGUUUAGCUUAUUCUACCAUUAAUUCAUGUUAGGGUUCAUAUUUGGAAAAAUAUCCAUAGGUGAAAUGUGUUUAUUUUGCUGUUUUAUGGUGGAAUAUGAAGCUAGAGAUUAUGUUAAACAACUUUUGCUAAGCAAUUUUAAGCGAAAACGGGUAAAUAGACAUAAUCGGUAAAAAUAAUUAAUAUUCAAAAGUAUGUGUUGGAGUGGGAAUUUGAUGUUUCCAUAGAAGGGAAAAAUGUUCAGCAUGUUAUAAAACUUAAGAAUAAGUGAUGAAGUUUAAUUUCCGAGCUUGGGGACAAAAGUGUAAUUAUGCAAAAGUUUGGGGGCAAAAUUGUAAUUUUCAAAAAGUUGGGUGGUGGAUUAUUUUAAUAAAUGUGAAUAUUAAACGAGUUAAAUUUGCUAUUAUAGAUCAAGAAAGACGUGAAGAGUAUAUCAAACGGGGAAAAGAAAAGAUAGGGGAGUAAAGUGCAAAAUUACGAUAUUUUGCACCGAGGUAAGUAAACACGUGACUUAAUGUAUUAUUUUGAUAUUAUUUGAUAUAUGUUGAGAUUUAUUUGGAAUUAAAAUAAAUGUUUGGCAAUAUCCUAAAAAUGUUGUUAAAUCGGGAAAGGUGAUAAAGGGUUGCGAUAUAUGGGUUAUGGGUUGAACACUCAGAAUAAGCCGUAGUAUGUUGUAUAUAAAAGGGGUUGCUGUGUGCUGAUUCCCCGAUUUAUGGGUGGUGCUAUGUGCGUGAUCCACCAUAUCUUUGAAAUGUGAAAGGGGGUUGCUAUGUGCUGAUUCCCCCGAGGGGUUGCUAAGUGCUGAUUCCCCGGUUCAUUGGUGGUGCUAAGUGCGAUAUCCACCAUAUCUUUGAAAUGUGAAAGGGGGUUGCUAUGUGCUGAUUCCCCCGAGGGGUUGCUAAGUGAUGAUUCCCCGAUUCAGUGGUGGUGCUAAGUGCGAGAUCCACCAAUAACGGUUAACAUUCCGAGUGCUCAACGAAAAAGUGUGGAAGGUGAAUAUUGCCAUAUGGUGGAAAAUUUUAUGGGGUAAAUAUUGAGUUGGACACUAAAUCGAUCCAUGUAUGAGAUGGGAGAAAAUAUCAAAAACGAAAAAGGAACGAUUUAAUUAUAAACUGUGUUGAACAACAGCAGUUGGGUAACUUUGAAAAAUCACCAUAAAUGGUGGAAAAUGAAUGGGAAGCUGAAUAAUAUAUGAAAUUGAAGCUGGAUGUGUCUGUUUUCAUAUGAAAGAAAUAGAAUAAGCAAAAGAGUUGUAUUUUUGGAGAUAUCUGAAUUUUACUGAAACAGGGCUGGAUUGAUUUCGAGAUCCCCUGUUCUAACUUUGGAAAAUUACCAAAAAUUGAAAAAAAAUAAUUAUGGCAUGAAAUUUAUAUCCCUGGAAUCCUUAUUGAGUCUAUUUUUAUUAGAAACAAGAAAACCCAUUUUUCAAAUUUUGUACAGAGAGUUAAGUAAAUUUUAGUGAGGAAGGGUCAGAACCGUUGGGCAGUGAAACAGGGGAAGGUUUAAUGAAUAAACUGUACUAAUUGGCUGGGUUAAAAAUUCUGAAAUUUUUAUGGUGAAAUGGUAUAUGAGUCUAGUUUCAGGGAAAAUUUACGGAACUCAAUUUGGAGCUCUGUAGCUCCAGAUAAAAAUAAAUUAGCGACUAUGACGCAGAAAAACAGCUUGCUGGAAAUUGCCUAAACAAUAAAGUUAUUCAUGAAUAAGUUUAUAUUUUGGUGUAGUUAUGGGAGUAAUUACUUAUUUAUCAUGUGUUUACUUACUAAGCUAUAUGCUUACUCGAUUUUAUUUUUCUCUUGGUUAUAGUGACUUCCAACAACUCGGAAAUUGGAACGAAGUCAGACAAUCAUCUACACUAUCCUUCACAUUUGGGGUAUUUUACUACUAGUGUUCCGAAAUUUUAUGGCAUGUAUAGACACUUUAUGUAAUGUGGGAUCAUCAUGUAAAUAUAUGUUAUGGUUCCCUUUUAAAUGUAGUGUUUAUUAAUAGUUAAACUAUAUGUGUGUUUAUACAAAUGAAAUUGGUUGGUAUAUUGGAAUGUGUUCUAAAUUUGCAGGAGGUUUAAGCAAAAAUAAGUAGGAAUGCUGUCGAAAAUUUUUAAAAAUUUAGUAAUACCUCAUACUCUGUUCCGGUAAGGAAUACGGGUAAGGGGUGUUACACUAUCACUGAAAAUUUCAAGUUGCGAGCCCCUCUACAAUUACAAAUCAGCACAGACAUUGGGGGGUGGUUGGGAAUCUUCCCAUAAUCUGUUCCAUCUUGACGGGUGGCAGCAGCUCGACUUUGUGCAUCAUUGAAUUCGAGUCCAGGAGGUAGAGGGAGCUUACUAGUAUUUGGAGAUUAUAUAUUGCCGUCUCCCCUCCACCAUGAAAGAUUUCUUGAAGGGUUUGUUCAUAUUCAAUUGGAUGCAUAAACGGCCAAACUUUCCCCUUUCACUAGUUAAUGUGAAAUUAUCAACCUUCCACAAACCCCCAAGCUAUUACCCUAUUACCAAUUUUUAAAAAGAUUUUUGGGUCAUAGUACUCAACAGGGAGUUCUAGUAGCCGUAUCCACACCUCUAUUACCAAUUGAAGUUUAUCAACCCGUCUUAAUUCUCUUAUUGCUACGCACAAGUUCAUUCUCUUCCUCCCUGCUAAGUUGCGUUCUCUUUGUUAUUUUCUUUAAAUCAAGUCAAUAUCUAUUUUACCUUUAUUAACUCCUUAAUACUACUACUGCUGCUAUUAUUAGUACGUGUCUAAGCAAAUUUGUAAGGUACUAAAGAAGAUAGAAUAAAGAGAAAAUAAAAUAUAAUCUAUUAUAGUAAUCUAUGUUUAUUAUAAUUUGUCUGAUCGAAUUUAAUGUCAUGAAUUGAAUAAUAUCCACUUAGGAAAGUAUAAUAAAAUUAAAAAUGAAAUACAAAUAAUUAAAUUUAUUAAAAAAAAGUUAAUGAUGAUAAAAAAACAAGGAUAUCCCUUCAAAAUAUUGUUUCUUUAAAACUUAAUUUUCAAAAUGUGAUUUCCCUGACCUCAUCAAAUACAAGCACGGACAAAUUAGUCUAACCACGACACCUGUGGGUGGCAAGAUUAGGAGAAUUUCCUAUAAUGAUUUAACUGUACACUAACCUCUCCAGAUUAAGAGUCCUUUUUAAAGAUUCUGUCGAAAAUCUUCUUGUGUAAUAAUUGAUUGAUAUGGAUUUGAUGUUACUCGAACCUUGUCGUGUAUUGGUGGCAAGUUCAUGAUGAAAUUUUCAAUAUACAUGUUUUUCCUUCUCCCCCAUCCUUUCCAAAAAAAUUUCACUCAAAUAUAAAACGCAACCGUGUAAUUAGAAGAAUGUCCACAAUAUAAACUUCAAUUUGGUCAUCUAAAUCUGUACCUAAUAUGGAUAUUAUGUCUCAUACAAUAAAACAUAAAAAGUGAAGCAAAAGGCAAUUGCACAAUGAUUAGGAUAAAUCAUACAACAAUACAUCUUGGUGAUUGGUUGGAAUCCAAGAAUUUGUCCUUGUACCUUUGUUGAAGUAGAAAUGUUUCUCGCACAUUAUAGGAAUCAUUUGGUUGAGUGGAAGUUGAUACUCCCUCAAAUAUUCUGUACAUUCAAAUCAUGUAUUGAAGAGGUUUCUUUUUUUUCUUUUCUUUUCUUUUUUUUUUUCCUUUUUUUUUUUGUAUCUAGAUAAACUACACUUUCUUGUACGAAAAAUACUGAGUAAAAUUAUUGUCAGUUAUUGCACAACACAUAUUGACAAUAUCAUUCAUCAUUGCUGCGGGUGAGACGAGGGAAGCUUGUUUCUCUUCCUCAAAAAUUUGCAAAGACAUGUUAGAUGAUCAGAGGUACAUCAACGUGAGGUAAUCAAAGCAGCGGUGAGGAAUUGAGGAAGCUAAUGAACCCCACUACAUGCAUAUCUGGUCUACUGUAUUUGGCACUUAGUGGCAGAUUUAUAAUAAGAAAUUACACUGGCAAGUUAAAAACAUUGGUACGUAAUAUUAUUCUUGAAAAUCAUACGACGAAGGAUUAUAAUUAUUUUAAUCCAGUUUUUACUAUUUUUUGUUGCGUAGAAUAUGAGCUUAAAACACUCAAUUCCAUGAGAGGUCGGAGAUAAUACAUGCAAAAACAAAGCAGCCGGUAGAUAGCUUGACAACAGCCCUAAGGAGAGCUUAGCCAUAUUAUGAAGGUCGAUGCUAUGAUCAUAUAACAACAAACCUUGCUAAAUCAGUCAACUUAGUGUUGAAGUCCACGCAUUAUCUUCGAGCUACUAUGUUAGUUCAAGCGACUUACUAAAGUUGGUCGAAGUUAGAAUAAUAAUCCAAUAUAUCAGAUAAUAAUCCAAAAGUUACCAUGUUAGUUCAGCGACUUAAAUAUGCCUUACCUUAUCAGAUAAUAAACUCAAACAUCUCUUGAACUUGGGAUAAUAAACAAACAAAUAAACAGAAGAUAAAUUUCCUUUGUUCUUACAUUCUAUCGUGCUCUAUUUGAGAAUAUGAAUUUCAAAUUUUGGAUUUCACUUUGGUAAUAAUAAAAUUCAAAUAUAAUGGACAAAGUAGUUGAGAUUCAAUAUGAUAUAUUUUAGAAAAAUACAAAAACAUUUAAUUUGUCAAAUCUAAAAACAUUUUAUAUUUUUCAAAUUCAUUACUAAAUAAUAAGCAUCUAACAAAUCUAUGGAUUAAAACUCAGACUUGCAUUAUUUUAGAAAUCCAAAUCCAGAUUCUAAAAUCCUAGUUCCUAGAGUUCACUAUAUUUGAUGAUAAACAUGCUCUAUGCUGAUAGCCAAUUUUAAAGCUGAAUAUGAAAAAGGCCUUCUAGUUUAUGAAAUAAAAAUCCGCUCCAGAAAAAAGGGAAAAAAACUAUUAAUAUAACGCAACAUGUCAAACACGGAAAGGCAAAAAUUAUGAGGUAUUUAUAUGCACUUAUAUUUCUAUCAGACUUUAACCUUUGAAAGGAAGGAAAACAAAAAUGGGAACGAUAAAAGCAACAACACUAGUAGACACUCUCAGCACCACAAAAAUUAGCAUACUAGGGCCGUUUGUUAACAUUUAAGCUAAGGACAAAGUAAACCUGGAUUCUUUGGUCAGGGCUCUACUGAUGGCACUGCAACUGAUAGCUCCAUUCAUUCACCUUACAGCGUUAUUCCUCCAUUUCCUAACAAGAAGUCAAGAGUGAUGAUCAGAUGACAAACAUUGGGAAAACAACCUGAAUAAAGCAGAACUAACUCAGAAGAAUGGUAUAUCGUAUUCAAAUCAAAGUACUUUACCACUUUAAUACCACCAGACAGUCCCAAGUCCCGAACUGAACUUUCUGACAUGCAAUUUGCAUGCACAAUGGGGCCAUUGGCUGCACUCCCAUCAGUAGUUCCCACCCCACCCUCCUUUGAUGGGAUAGCCAAGUAUGCUGCUCCCUUAAACAUCCAUUCACCACUGUCCAGCCUAAAAUAAUCUUCAAAUAGCUCGCCGCAUAACAAGCAUGCACACUGAUUUUCAUCUGCAGGCACCAUACGCUCAGCCUUUUCUGUUGUCUUUUCCAACUUGUUCAGAGAAUCAGUGGAAUCCAAUACCAAUUGCCCAGGCUUUCCAGCAAGCCAAUCAUCUGACCUCACAUACCAUCCCCUCAAUGCCCUACCAGAGCCUCUUAAUUCAGUCUUUUUCAUUUCAUGCCACUCUAAGUGUCUAUCAAGCUGUCCCUGAAGCUUAAGUCGAAGACCACAUAAGCUGCAACAAUGUGGAAGGUCAUCCAACAAUCCACCGAUCACAGAUGAAUGAAAUUCUCUGAUUACAUCUGGCCUGAGUUCUAAUCCUAUCAAGCUUUCUACUUCUGUUGAGGUGGACUGAUGUGGGGCAACUAAACAUUUUGGAGCAGGUUCAGCAUAUGAUACCUCAUCCAUUGUGGAGGAUCGAGGAGCAUCAGAUGAACUCUGAAUGUCCGAACUCUUGUUCAGUGAUUCACUUGGACUCUCGACUCCUGGGCUCUU
rnacentral:lncRNA from 1 species